UGCGUAGGUGGCAAGCGUUGUCCGGAAUUAUUGGGCGUAAAGCGCGCGCAGGCGGUCCUUUAAGUCUGAUGUGAAAGCCCACGGCUCAACCGUGGAAGGUCAUUGGAAACUGGGGGACUUGAGUGCAGAAGAGGAAAGCGGAAUUCCAAGUGUAGCGGUGAAAUGCGUAGAGAUUUGGAGGAACACCAGUGGCGAAGGCGGCUUUCUGGUCUGUAACUGACGCUGAGGCGCGAAAGCUAGGGGAGCAAACGGG
rnacentral:rRNA from 1 species